rnacentral:rRNA from 1 species
CGGGGUGAGUAAUGUCUGGGAAGCUGCCCGAUGGAGGGGGAUAACUACUGGAAACGGUAGCUAAUACCGCAUAACGUCGCAAGACCAAAGAGGGGGACCUUCGGGCCUCUUGCCAUCGGAUGUGCCCAGAUGGGAUUAGCUAGUAGGUGGGGUAAUGGCUCACCUAGGCGACGAUCCCUAGCUGGUCUGAGAGGAUGACCAGCCACACUGGAACUGAGACACGGUCCAG